rnacentral:rRNA from 1 species
UGAAUACGAGAUGCUACGGCGUCGAAGCAGUCUAUGUCAUACUUCCAAGAAAAGCUUGCACUGUCAUAAACAAAUAAUGCCUGUACCAUAACCGACACAGGUGGGUAGGUAGAGUAUACUAAGGGGCGCGAGAUAACUCUCUCUAAGGAACUCGGCAAAAUGACUCCGUAACUUCGGGAGAAGGAGUGCCUUAUUUUAUAAGGUUGCAAUAACAAGAUCCAAGCAACUGUUUACCAAAAACACAGGUCUCCGCUAAGUCGUAAGACGAUGUAUGGGGGCUGACGCCUGCCCAGUGCCAGAAGGUUAAAGAAGUUGGUUAGCAUCCGCGAAGCUGAUAACUGAAGCCCUGGUGAACGGCGGCCGUAACGAUAACGGUCCUAAGGUAGCGAAAUUCCUUGUCGGGUAAGUUCCGACCCGCACGAAAGGCGUAAUGAUUUGGAUACUGUCUCAGAGAGGGGCUCGGUGAAAUAGACUUGUCUGUGAAGAUGCGGACUACCUGCACCAGGACAGAAAGACCCUAUGAAGCUUUACUGUAACUUGAAAUUGAAAUUGGACUUUACUUGCGCAGUAUAGGUGGGAGGCGUUGAGAAUAUUCUUGCGGGAAUGUUGGAGCCAUCAGUGAGAUACCACUCUUGUAAUGUUAGAUUUCUAACUUUGUAUCAUUAUCUGGUCAAAGGACAGUUUCAGGCGGGCAGUUCGACUGGGGCGGUCGCCUCCCAAACGGUAACGGAGGCGCACAAAGGUUUCCUCUGAACGGGUAGAAAUCGUAUCUAGAGUGUAAAGGCAUAAGGAAGCUUGACUGUGAGACCUACAAGUCGAGCAGGGACGAAAGUCGGUCUUAGUGAUCUGACGGUGCUGAGUGGAAAGGCCGUCACUCAACGGAUAAAAGUUACUCUAGGAUAACAGGCUGAUCUCCCCCAAGAGUUCACAUCGACGGGGAGGUUUGGCACCUCGAUGUCGGCUCAUCGCAUCCUGGGGCGGUAGUACGUCCCAAGGGUUGGGCUGUUCGCCCAUGAAAGCGGUACGCGAGCUGGGUUCAGAACGUCGUGAGACAGUUCGGUCCAUAUCCGGUGUAGGCGUUAGAAUAUUGAGAGGAGCCUUCUUUAGUACGAGAGGACCGAGAAGGACAUACCUCUGGUGUACCAGUUAUCGUGCCAACGGUAAACGCUGGGUAGCUAUGUAUGGAGUGGAUAACCGCUGAAAGCAUCUAAGUGGGAAGCCCACCUCAAGAUAAG